UACGGGGGGGGCAAGCGUUGUUCGGAAUUACUGGGCGUAAAGGGCUCGUAGGUGGCCAACUAAGUCAGACGUGAAAUCCCCCGGCUUAACCGGGGAAUUGCGUCUGAUACUGGUUGGCUCGAGUUCGGGAGAGGGAUGCGGAAUUCCAGGUGUAGCGGUGAAAUGCGUAGAUAUCUGGAGGAACACCGGUGGCGAAGGCGGCAUCCUGGACCGACACUGACGCUGAGGAGCGAAAGCCAGGGGAGCAAACGGG
rnacentral:rRNA from 1 species